rnacentral:rRNA from 1 species
UGGUGAGUAACACGUGGGUGAUCUGCCCUGCACUUCGGGAUAAGCCUGGGAAACUGGGUCUAAUACCGGAUAGGACGAUGGUUUGGAUGCCAUUGUGGAAAGUUUUUCGGUGUGGGAUGAGCUCGCGGCCUAUCAGCUUGUUGGUGGGGUAAUGGCCUACCAAGGCGUCGACGGGUAGCCGGCCUGAGAGGGUGUACGGCCACAUUGGGACUGAGAUACGGCCCAG